UAUGUGUGCUCUUAUACUAUU
rnacentral:siRNA from 1 species